rnacentral:lncRNA from 1 species
GAAAGAAGAGAUUACCGCUACUUCUAUGGAUUAAUUUUGUGAUUGUCAGCAUCUUUUGCAAUCAUGAGAAGGUAUAUUCUUCUCCUCAAUGUCUUUCCCCAUUUCUAUAUUUGUGGAAUUUUUAGGUGAAUCUCUUCAUUUUAUUAGCACGGGAAUUGUUUGAUAGAAGUCCAAACACAAGUUUCUGUCUUUUUGCAGAUUUAAUGUUUUGCGAGGUUAGUUAUGAUAUUGAUCUUUAGAUUUAUUUUAGUUAUGUAUAAUUGUGAAAUGAUUUGAUAUGAUUUUUCAUUAUAUUAGUAUGUUUUUGUAUGAUUUUGAAAUUUGUAUUAACGAUUCAGUCUUCAUAUGAGAAUAUUGUCCAAGUAUAUGUAGAUUUAUGUAGUAGAUUAGUUAUGAUUGUUAUUUUAAAUUGUGGAAUUAACCUCCUGCGAAAUUUUAUAUUUUUGAAGCCGAACUAAACUUGUCUUUCAAACCGAACAGAAAAUACUUCGGUUUUUCCGGUUCGGUUGAAGAAAAACCGAAUUAUAUAAAAAGUUAUAGGUGGUGUUUUCGUGGUUAUUCUGCAGACUGAAUGUUAGUCUAUUUAUCCUCACUGUCUGUUAUAUUUAAACUGCAGAUGACUUGCAUGUUGUUGUAAUCUUUAAUUGAAGGUUGUUUGAUAAUGGGACUGUAUGUUAUUUAUAUAAAGAAUGCAUGAUUCACUUGUGGAUUGACAGAUAUGAAGAAAUGUAAAAAAUUUCAAACCGGACAGGGCCGAAUUUAUAAGGUUCGCUUCGGUUUUGCUCAGCCCUAGCUUAGAGGGUUUUAAUAGUUCAAACUUGAUAGACUCCAUGAUAUGGGACCAUAAAAUUCAUGUCUAGAGAUAUCAAGAAAUUCCGGUCGGUCCUGUUUCCCAAUCUUGUCACGGAUCCUCCUGGAUAAAUGGUAACCGGCUAAGUGUAUACUUAAGAAACCACGAAGAUCAGUCAUCUCCUUUGGAAUCACUCCACUAUGUUGUUACUUGAUAAAUCAAUUUAGUACAAAAAAUCUGUAUGUUGCUAUAUAUGUUUGUUUAGUUCCUUUUUAAUCAUCCACAAUUCUUUCAGUACAACUCAGUCUGGAGUAUGGUGGAGCAUCAUUAGUUUCAGUGUUAUAAUUUGUAAUUAUGGCCCAAGCAAAGAGAAAUAGACCUCCUGAUGUCAUUUCUUGCCAUGUUUAAAACUUGAAUCAUCGGAUUUUGACAAAAAUUUGAGGGAAUUUCAUCACAGAAAUUGUUGGACCGCAGUAUUAAGGAACUUAUUUGCAGAAAUAAGUGUACUAAUUAUGAUCUUGAUUCUAUAUUAAAAAAAGGUAUAGGGAUAACACGCAACACGGCACCACUAAGUUGACAGAUUGACAAUGACAACAAAGAAUUAAAUCAGACAGAAUAUAAGAAAUAAAUGACAAGUAAAAACGGAUAAUAUUAUCAUACAAAAAUGCAUCUUAAUUGAAAUUUGUAGUACAACUUGAAAUACAGAAUUUGACAAAUCCACCUUCCUCCAAGCUAUGUGAAUAACAUGAGCACAUUAUAGCAACCACUACUUAUGAGACACCAACCUCAAGAACAAAUGGAGAAAAAAAUGACAAGAAGAAAUAGCAUUUAUGUUUAGACAUUUAGUCAUGGAGUUUCCGCUACUUCAUCAAGAAAGAAGAGAUUACCGCUACUUCUAUGGAUUAAUUUUGUGAUUGUCAGCAUCUUUUGCAAUCAUGAGAAGGUAUAUUCUUCUCCUCAAUGUCUUUCCCCAUUUCUAUAUUUGUGGAAUUUUUAGGUGAAUCUCUUCAUUUUAUUAGCACGGGAAUUGUUUGAUAGAAGUCCAAACACAAGUUUCUGUCUUUUUGCAGAUUUAAUGUUUUGCGAG